UUUUAUUUUUUUAAAAACUAACCAAUAUUUUACCCGUUUGGACUAAAGUACCCUUAUCUACAAAAGCUUUCCUUUCUUCUACACAGCCGUUCGUUCGUGGGGGUGGGGUUUAUACAAAACUGUUCGUGGGGUUUCUCUAAACUCUUUGCAUCUCAUCGCCUCUCACUCUCAUUUUUUUGUAUUUUCUCAGAUCUCAAACUAAAAUCAGUCAAAUGGAAGAUGAUGACAUUGUAAUUGCGGUUUUAUACAAUGGAACAUUGAUACAAAAUGAUAGUGGUGAUUGGGAAUAUCGAAAUGGUAAAAAUGUAAUGGUUUCCGUCGGCAAGAGAUGCACAAAAUCAGAGUUAGAGGACUGUGGCAUAUUUACACUCAAGACCAUCGAAUUCUUACAUGCUAGAUUACCAUUGACAUUCACACAAGAUAACAUGGAGUUCUUUAGGAAGAAGUAUGCAUAUGAGGUUUACAACAAAGAACUUAGCAUAUGAGCUGCGUGGUGAUGCUUUUUUCUUUCCUUUUUUCAUGUUUAUAGAUGCAUAUUAUUUAUUA